rnacentral:rRNA from 1 species
GACGAACGCUGGCGGCGUGCUUAACACAUGCAAGUCGAACGGAAAGGCCCUGCUUUUGUGGGGUGCUCGAGUGGCGAACGGGUGAGUAACACGUGAGUAACCUGCCCUUGACUUUGGGAUAACUUCAGGAAACUGGGGCUAAUACCGGAUAGGAGCUCCUGCUGCAUGGUGGGGGUUGGAAAGUUUCGGCGGUUGGGGAUGGACUCGCGGCUUAUCAGCUUGUUGGUGGGGUAGUGGCUUACCAAGGCUUUGACGGGUAGCCGGCCUGAGAGGGUGACCGGCCACAUUGGGACUGAGAUACGGCCCAGACUCCUACGGGAGGCAGCAGUGGGGAAUAUUGCACAAUGGGCGGAAGCCUAAUGCAGCAACGCCGCGUGCGGGAUGACGGCCUUCGGGUUGUAAACCGCUUUCGCCUGUGACGAAGCGUGAGUGACGGUAAUGGGUAAAGAAGCACCGGCUAACUACGUGCCAGCAGCCGCGGUGAUACGUAGGGUGCGAGCGUUGUCCGGAUUUAUUGGGCGUAAAGGGCUCGUAGGUGGUUGAUCGCGUCGGAAGUGUAAUCUUGGGGCUUAACCCUGAGCGUGCUUUCGAUACGGGUUGACUUGAGGAAGGUAGGGGAGAAUGGAAUUCCUGGUGGAGCGGUGGAAUGCGCAGAUAUCAGGAGGAACACCAGUGGCGAAGGCGGUUCUCUGGGCCUUUCCUGACGCUGAGGAGCGAAAGCGUGGGGAGCGAACAGGCUUAGAUACCCUGGUAGUCCACGCUGUAAACGGUGGGUACUAGGUGUGGGGUCCAUUCCACGGGUUCCGUGCCGUAGCUAACGCUUUAAGUACCCCGCCUGGGGAGUACGGCCGCAAGGCUAAAACUCAAAGGAAUUGACGGGGCCCCGCACAAGCGGCGGAGCAUGCGGAUUAAUUCGAUGCAACGCGUAGAACCUUACCUGGGUUUGACAUGGAUCGGGAGCGCUCAGAGAUGGGUGUGCCUCUUUUGGGGUCGGUUCACAGGUGGUGCAUGGCUGUCGUCAGCUCGUGUCGUGAGAUGUUGGGUUAAGUCCCGCAACGAGCGCAACCCUUGUUCACUGUUGCCAGCACGUUAUGGUGGGGACUCAGUGGAGACCGCCGGGGUCAACUCGGAGGAAGGUGGGGAUGACGUCAAGUCAUCAUGCCCCUUAUGUCCAGGGCUUCACGCAUGCUACAAUGGCUGGUACAGAGAGUGGCGAGCCUGUGAGGGUGAGCGAAUCUCGGAAAGCCGGUCUCAGUUCGGAUUGGGGUCUGCAACUCGACCUCAUGAAGUCGGAGUCGCUAGUAAUCGCAGAUCAGCAACGCUGCGGUGAAUACGUUCCCGGG